GCCCCUUCGAGUGCCUAUACAUGCAAGUCGAACGCGUUGGCCCAAUUGAUUGAUGGUGCUUGCACCUGAUUGAUUUUGGUCGCCAACGAGUGGCGGACGGGUGAGUAACACGUAGGUAACCUGCCCAGAAGCGGGGGACAACAUUUGGAAACAGAUGCUAAUACCGCAUAACAGCGUUGUUCGCAUGAACAACGCUUAAAAGAUGGCUUCUCGCUAUCACUUCUGGAUGGACCUGCGGUGCAUUAGCUUGUUGGUGGGGUAACGGCCUACCAAGGCGAUGAUGCAUAGCCGAGUUGAGAGACUGAUCGGCCACAAUGGGACUGAGACACGGCCCAUACUCCUACGGGAGGCAGCAGUAGGGAAUCUUCCACAAUGGGCGCAAGCCUGAUGGAGCAACACCGCGUGAGUGAAGAAGGGUUUCGGCUCGUAAAGCUCUGUUGUUAAAGAAGAACACGUAUGAGAGUAACUGUUCAUACGUUGACGGUAUUUAACCAGAAAGUCACGGCUAACUACGUGCCAGCAGCCGCGGUAAUACGUAGGUGGCAAGCGUUAUCCGGAUUUAUUGGGCGUAAAGAGAGUGCAGGCGGUUUUCUAAGUCUGAUGUGAAAGCCUUCGGCUUAACCGGAGAAGUGCAUCGGAAACUGGAUAACUUGAGUGCAGAAGAGGGUAGUGGAACUCCAUGUGUAGCGGUGGAAUGCGUAGAUAUAUGGAAGAACACCAGUGGCGAAGGCGGCUACCUGGUCUGCAACUGACGCUGAGACUCGAAAGCAUGGGUAGCGAACAGGAUUAGAUACCCUGGUAGUCCAUGCCGUAAACGAUGAGUGCUAGGUGUUGGAGGGUUUCCGCCCUUCAGUGCCGGAGCUAACGCAUUAAGCACUCCGCCUGGGGAGUACGACCGCAAGGUUGAAACUCAAAGGAAUUGACGGGGGCCCGCACAAGCGGUGGAGCAUGUGGUUUAAUUCGAAGCUACGCGAAGAACCUUACCAGGUCUUGACAUCUUGCGCCAACCCUAGAGAUAGGGCGUUUCCUUCGGGAACGCAAUGACAGGUGGUGCAUGGUCGUCGUCAGCUCGUGUCGUGAGAUGUUGGGUUAAGUCCCGCAACGAGCGCAACCCUUGUUACUAGUUGCCAGCAUUAAGUUGGGCACUCUAGUGAGACUGCCGGUGACAAACCGGAGGAAGGUGGGGACGACGUCAGAUCAUCAUGCCCCUUAUGACCUGGGCUACACACGUGCUACAAUGGACGGUACAACGAGUCGCGAACUCGCGAGGGCAAGCAAAUCUCUUAAAACCGUUCUCAGUUCGGACUGCAGGCUGCAACUCGCCUGCACGAAGUCGGAAUCGCUAGUAAUCGCGGAUCAGCAUGCCGCGGUGAAUACGUUCCCGGGCCUUGUACACACCGCCCGUCACACCAUGAGAGUUUGUAACACCCAAAGUCGGUGGGGUAACCUUUUAGGAGCCAGCCGCGUAAGUGAACCAGAU
rnacentral:rRNA from 1 species